GCCUGAGUGUUUAACUUUUCAACUCUCAAAUAGAAUACAGACCUACUGCUGGUAAAAAUCCACAAAUAGAAGCUCUAGAAAUAGCCAGCAGAUUUUUUUUUUCAACGACGGAGUUAUCCGCGUACACAUCUUGACGCUCUGAAGUUGUGAAGACCACGAUGCACUGACCUCUUCAGUCGGGCCUCUCCUGCAUGAAGACCAGGCCCAAACUUCUGUCAGCCUAAGUCAUUGUGUGAAGAAAUGUUAAAGAGAAGUAAGAACUUCAAUUUGGGACAUGAAGAAUUCUGAAAAAACAGCGUUCUCUAUGACAACAGUAUUAAAAACAGCAUUUUACAUUUUUGGGGUGAUAAGGUCUUGAGUCCACAAAGGAUUCUGUAUAUUUUUAAGUAGCUGCCUUUUAUGUUGGCUAAAGAUCAUUUUAAAUAAUUACUCCACAGACUGUAUACAGCAUAAAACUUGUUCAAAGAUAGCAACAGCAGGAAAAAAAUAUUAUAAAGUUUUAAAUUGUAAAUAUUUUCAUAUGUAGUAAGUUGCCUUUAUAUUUCAGUGUAUAUGUACUGUUUUGAAGUUUUUAUAUUUUAUAUUGUAUUAGUUAUUUUUUGUACAGACUGUAAUGAAGGCAUUUUUGUGUUUGAAACAAAGGUCAUUGGAGUCUUAAUUUUUGUUGUUAGCUGUAGCUAAAUUUGCACUAAAGAAUUCAUUGCUCACCCACUCUUCCUGAAAGUGACUGUUGUUGCUUAGCUAUCCUGCUGUACUGUGAGGCCAGUGUAAUAGUUAAUUAUAUUUUAGAAGAAAUCACAGACAUUUCACAGAUUUUUUUCUCAUUGCAUUUGAAUCUCUUGAAUGUACUGUAUAAACUAUUGAGUCAGUAUAAAUACUGUAGAGGUUUUAUCACUGGUUUGAAUAGUGAUAAGAAAAAAUAACAUUCCUUCAUUUGUACUUAUCAUCAAAAGCCCAGUGCACAAGCCAAGCAAUUUCCUCAACAGUUUGCUUUCUGUUCAGUUCUCAGGGUCUCCCAUUGCAUCCAGUUGAGUGUAAGAGGCAGUUACCAUUUCCAGUGUAUGUCUGGUCCUUUGUUUAGUGGCUUCUCUUACUCCAGGCAAAAAGAUCAUGAAGUUAAUCAGUAUGUUAUUACCGCCCCAGUCAACAGUAACCUACAAUGAAAGAAGCAAACGAAGGAAAAUAUCUUGUAAACAAAAAUGAAGUUUAUUAUUUUUUACAUAAUCCAUACUUUGUGAUUUAACUGAUCUAAUCAAAAUAUACACCACACUGGAUUUUUGAUUUAACUCUCUGAAAGGUCUGUUUUAAAACCAGGUAAAUGUUAAUGCAGACAUUUUCAAGUUGUCUUCAUUCUCAUUGGAAUCAUUUUAUGUGUGUUGUGUACAAGGCCAUCUAUCCAAAUUAAUAUUUUUGUACACACAUACACUAUCAGUCAGCAGUUUUAGUACACCUCAGUUUUAUCAGUUUUUGUAGAAAUGCACACAGUCUGUCUUAAUGUUUUGUGAAAUCAAGGCAUAGAACAAAUAAACAGUGGAGUCACAAGGAAUCAUUAAGUGUACAAAAUUUUAUUCAAAUUUUUUGAUUCACAAAGUAGCCACCUUUUGCUGAUAUAACAGCCAAAACUGUGGUAACCCUUUUGAUUCAGAAUGCCAUUCACUCUGCAAGUCAGCAACUCUGCCCCCAGCAAAAGAACCCCAGACCAUCACACUUUCUCCUCCAUGUUUGACAGUUGGUGUCACACACUGAGGAACCAUCCUUUCACCAGCUUGACGGCGUACAAACACCCUUUGGGAUGAACCAAAGAUUUCAAAUUUUGAUUCAUUGGUCCAUAAGAUUUCCGGUCUGCAGUAGUCCACAGGCUUAUUUUGUCAUUUAAGAAAUGGCUUUCUCACUGCCACUCGCCCUGUCAAACCCACAGCACAAAGUCUCCUCUUCACAGUAGAAACUGAGGCUUGCAUUUUUGGACACUGUUAAGGUGUGCUUGAAGCUGUUGUGCUUGAAGGCUUUGGAUUGUGUAGGACACCAUACUCACUGACUCACUGCAAUUUCUGUAAAUGAAAGGCCUACCCUAAGGGUAAUAAUUCUGUCUCAUUUAAUUUCUUAAUUGCCAUUUUCUUACCAAUAUCACUUGAAUUUACAACAUUCUACAGUGUAAUAUAGUAUCGUACUUGAAAGGGUGCAGUAACACAGUCUGACAGACAAGAGGGUUUUUAAGUAAUAACAGAAUUGGGACACCUGUGCAAACUGUUUGCUUCAACUUGUUGUAACCUAUUGUAAUAUGCUGAAAUUUCCUUUUUUCAGUUUUUGCUAACCUAAAAUUUACAUUUAAACCUCCGUCAGUUUUCACCAUUUUAGGUCAUUCAUUACAUUUCAACUGGUUAAAUUUGAAGAAAAAUGGAGGUGUUAUAAAACUUUUUACCAGUAUGUACUAAGUUCAGUUUAAUAGUUAAGAAAUAAUAAAGCACAGUAAUGCAAAAUCUUUAUCAGUUAUGUACUGCCUUUUUAUAGGAAUCACUAUCAGACAGCACUUUAUCACAACCCAAUAUAUCAAAUAAUCAAAGUACUAUACAAGUUUCCUCAUUUGACAUUACUCUAUAUGAAUAUGUAGAUCCAGCAAACAUUUUUUACAUGUAUUGCUAGCUUUAUCCUCUUGGAGUCACUGUCUAAUCAGGAAUAUGUGUGUAAAGUGUAUAAACAGUGCUUAUGAAAUGUAUUCACUCUCCUUACAAGUUUUCACAUUUUGUUAUUAUACAACGUUUAAUCACAGUGGAUUUAAUUUGGCUUUCUUAAAACUAAUAAACAGAAUGAUACUAUUUCAUGUCAAACUGAAAACUGAUCUCUGCAAAUUGUACUAAAUUAAUUUCACCCGUCCAUUUCCUACUCCUCUUAUCCAGUACAGAGUCACAGGGAAGAUGGAGCUUAAACAAAAUAAUCGCAAAAAGUAUGUACUCCCUUCCGUAUAACACACCUAAAUCAUCAGUUGGUUUUAGAAUUCACAUCAUUACUUUAAUGGAGUGCACCGGUCUUUAAUCUGACUGUAGUUUAAAUGCUCCGUAUCUGGAAGGUCCAACUUGUAGUGAUUCAGUAUUGUGGCUUAACCUGCACAAUGAAGACAGAAAGAGCACUCCAGGUAUUUCUUUGAAAAGGUGACAGGAGAACACAAGUCACUGAAUAUCCCAUGGCGUCCAGUUUGAUCAAUCAUUAAGAAAUGGGCAGAAUAUUUCACUGCUCUACAUCUGCCUACAGCAGGCCAUCCAUAAAAACUGAGCGAUCAUGCAACAUUAAGACUAGUGAAUAAGGUUGCCAAGAGAUGCAAAAUAACUCUGAAGUAGUUACAGGCUACAGUGGCUGAGACUGGCGUGAACGUGCAUACAAAAGCCAAUGCCCAGGUGCUUCACCAGUCACAGCUUUAUAGAAGAGUGGCAAAAAGAAAAAAUGCACAUGACAUCUCAGCUAGAGUUUGCCAGAAGUCACAAGUCUGAAGUCAAAUGAAAGAAGGUUUUAUGGUUCAAUAAGACCAAAAUUGAACUUUUUGGCCAUUAGACUAGGUGCCAUGUUUGGCGUAAACUAAAGACUACAAGUUAUUAAAAACACACCAACCCAACUGAAGCAUAGCAGUGACAGCAUCACAGCUGACAGCUGUCCUGUGAAGCUUUUUAGCACAGAGGGUACAAGGAAUGCAGGAAGAUGCACGGGAAUCCGGGAAGAAAUCCUGAUGUAGUCUGCAAGAAGAUUAUCUUUCCAGUAAGACAGUGUCCCCACAGAUAAAGCUCCACAGCAAUGGCUUAAAAACAGCAAUGUUAAUGUUCUGAAGUGGCAGGGUCUGAGUGCAGAUCUCAGUCGAAUUGAGAAUUUGUGGCUGGACUUGAAAAUGGCUGCUUGCUCACAAUCCCCAUACAACCUGACUGAGUAGUUUUACAAAGAGUAAUGGAGACAAAAGAUAGUGGACUGAUGUGACAUAGAGAGAGCUAAAGGAAGCCUAAAGCAGAGACUCAGGGCUGUCGUGGCUACCAAAGGUGUAUCUACUAAAUACUGACUUGAAGAGGGGGGAUACUUAAGUUGUCAGUUAUUUUGUGUUUUAUUUUUAUAAUUAAUUUAUACCACUUUGCAGAGAUGUGUUUUGACUUUGACAUAGAGUCUUUAAUGUUAAAAUAAAAUGUGAAAACGUCCAGUGGGUGAGUACUUUAUAUAGGUACUGUGUGUGCAUUAUGUAAUAUUCUUUUUUAUUAUUAUUACUGUGUUAUGUAAUAUCUUUUGUUGACACUACAGUACACAAGUAUAUUGCAAGUUCAUAAAAUGCUGCCUCAAAAUGUUAAUCAUUUUUGUCUCUGAGAGAAAAUGAAUACAGAAAACAUGCAAGAAGAACAAAAGCAAAAGUUUUUUUUUAUGUAAUAGAGUUUACAUAUUAUUAUAUAACUCUGUUAGAUUAAGUAUAUCUUGAACUAAAGCAUAAUUUGUCAUAUUCUUGAAAUAUAAAGAUAAAGAAUAAAAAUAGUCCCCACACAUAUAAAGUAUGUUUUCAGAACAAAUGAAAUCAGUCUUAAUUAAUUAAAGCUGAAAGAAUUUUCACAGUGCCUAGUAAGAUGUUACGAUUGCUGUGUUUUCCGGAUGUCUGGCCUGGUGAUAAUUAAUAGCUAAGACUGGAAAGCACAGAUUUGAGGCUUUAAUCACUGACUCGCUAUGUGACCCUAAGCAAGUGAUUUCACUUACUGUACCUACCCUGCAGUAGUGGAAAUAGGGAAACAAUUGUGUGGUACAUGUAAGGCUUUCUGGAGUGAUGUUUUCUUGUAAAAGGGUUAAAAUAAAGUGCAUUAAUGAUUAACAUUUUUUUCUUUUUAAAUAAUAUUUUUUUAGUUUCAUGUAGCAUCAUUGAAUGUUUUAGACUUUGUGGACAUGAGUCAUCCUGUUUUUGCUGAAAAGAGUUUGGAAACCAUUUGAAACCUGAAGCACUUUUUAAUAUUUACGUUGAUGGAGGAAUAUUUUCCUCAUAAUUUAUUAGUUGCAUUUUGGUAGUCUGCAGUCAAGAAUGCUGAAAACAGUUGGAGCAUACAAUAGACAAGAGAUCAAUUUAUGUUGGCAGGUGAAGAUAAAGGUUCAUAUGGAAAUAUACAGUAGCUCAGGAACUAUUACUGUAUUGUUUCUCAUUCAGAAACUAGAAAGACUGUUUGGUUGUGAAAUAUCACAAUUGGAAGCAAAAAAAGAAAGGUUGUAAUUAUAAUUAGCUUAUUCAUUUGGUUUAGCAUUGUUGGGAAAACACCAUUGGCCACUAUUUUGCAAAAAUGUAUUGCUUCAAUUGUUGCUCACAUAAUCAUGAUUUGAUCAAUCAGCACUUAAACAUUUACUGUGAAUCACGUAGAAGUUCUACCAAGAAAAUUCUUACUUCUGCAUCUGUAUCCAACACAGAUGUGCUGUAUCUGCUAAUGUACUUUGGAGCAUUAUCAGUGGAAUUCUAGAAACGCAUGAGUUUCUCAUGUAUGUCUGCUCAGGGUGCUGAGGGUACAGUUUUGUGUUACUCUUUUUUCCUGUAUCCACAUCUUUGGGUGGUUUGGAUAUUGUUACUCAGGACUAACAGUUACAGUGAACUUGCCAACGGUUUUGAUUUCAGAGCAACUAAAGGCAACACAUUUAUAGGUUUAUUUUAUGAUAUGUAACUUGUUUUGUUCUUAAAAGGUAUUUAGUAAAAAGUACACUGAUAAGUCAUGAUGAAUAAUAUUUUGAUAUUCACGGGAGCCCCAAACCUCUUUUUGACUGCAUAUUUAUACUUAACAUAUUUUAUGUAAAUUGACUAAGGAACCAACUAAGUUGUCAAGUUUCUAAAACAAUGUUCCUGCUCAAAUGAAGAGGCCUCAUUAUAUCAGAAUAUUUGCAGGUGUUGGUGGAGCAACACUAAAGCAACUACUGGAACGUAAUAUUGAUAAUAUUGAUCUCUUUAACAUGAGUGCCUUUCUCAGCAAGUUCCAUUUCAAAGCUUUCUACAUUGUCAAUCUUUAAUUAUUACACUAUAUUGUCCUUUAGCAAAAAACAUAGUCAACAAGCACAAAUGUCAAAAUAUUUAGCUCAAUCAAUUAUAAUUUUCUGUGGUAACCAAUAUUAUAGAGCCCUUCUGUUUACAGUUAUAUUUUAAAUACAGGUUGAGUAUCCCUAAUCCGAAAUGCCGGGGACCAGAAGUAUUUUGGAUUUUGGAUAUUUUUCAAUUUUGGAAUAGUUGCACAUACAUACUGAGGGAGGUUUCUUGGGGAUAGAACCCAAGUCUAAACUUGAAUUUUAUUUAUGUUUCAUAUACACCUUAUACACACAGCCAGAGGGUAAUUUUAUACAAUAUUUUUAGUAACUUUGUGCAAGAAAAGAGGCUGUGCACAGGAGCAUCAGUAGAAUAUUUGUAUCAGCUGUUAAACAAUAGCAACAACAAACAACAGCAGGCUUUCAGUCUCCACCUAUGAGGCUGUGUUUUGAUUAAAAGGUUGCUGUAUACAGAAAUGAGCAAAGCGGACAGGAGUAAUACAUAUAGGUCAGGUGGUGACAAUGGUUAAUGACAAACUGGUGCCAACAGAGCAUCGGAGCCUAUGUUCACUCUGAACUAAGUGGGUUUGUGGCAGUGCACCUUAUUUGUGUGCCAUGCACUCAUUGCUCCUCCUAUUCACCAGUUUGGAAGAGCUAUGCAGCGGUUAUAAUGCCUUUCACCAUUUGGUAAUGCACCUGCAGCUCCCAAAACAUAUCUUGGGACACCCCCCACCCCCCAACCCAUCCCAAUAGUUAUCAGCUGCGGUACUGAUGGUUUGCGCUGCUUGAAAAUCAGAGGGGAACUGAAGAAUUUGGUUGUAAAUUUUAAGUACCAAAUCAUGUGUUAUUCACAUCCACUAAUUGGUAAAAAAUAUUAGAGGGAACAUUGGACAGAGCCCGGCAUGGGCAAGUGAGGUCAGUUGUGGAAUAUUCCACUUGCUGCAUUGUAUCAGUGCUCAAAAAAUGUCUCAUUUUUGGAAGUUUCAGAUUUUGGAAUUUCAGAUAAGGGUUGCUCAACCUUGUACUAUGUCUUCACAAGUAGUCUGGCAAAGUUGGUUUUAUCUAAUUUAAAGAUAUAGCAUAGUUAUAAAUAUUGCUUUAUAAAUGGUACACUUAAUUAAUUUGCUGUAGGAAGAAUGAGGUGACAAAAAAUUGCUUCCCAGGAACCAAAUCUGGCUGUAAAUUUUAUGUUUUAAAGGCAGAAAAGAAUUAACACGUUCUGGGCAAAAAUGGCUUAGAAGGUAAACAAGGCUCUGGGCUCUGAAAUGGGCUAUUCUCUUGUGCAUUGCGUACACCACAGUAGUGUACAAGCGAUAGGGCCACCUUAUUAGGAUGGGCAGUUUGCAUGCUUAAAAAAACUGGCCGGUUGUGGUUGAAACCAUUAGCCUAAUGCAAGAGAAUGGAAUUCAAAUUGGAGGGCGAUAUUCAGAUUAUGUGUUUUCUUCUAAAUAUACUCCACAUGAGGUACAACAAAAUAUGUCACCUCAAAGAAAAUGAGGACCAUGUCUAGAAAUCGUCCAUUCCCUUCAUAGUGUGGCUAUCCAUGCAAAAAACUUUAAAAAUGAAACUUUUGCCAAAUGCUAGACACAAUAGUACGUUUAGAGUGGAAGCUGUCAGAAGCUCCAGUCAAAGAAUAUGACGUUCUCUAAUCCCAUCAACCAAAUAAACUAUUCAUGCUUCAAAAAGAACACUACAAGGAGAACACAGUAUAUUAAUGAUUUCCAUUAUCACUUUGUGUUGUUAAACAGGGCCAGGAAGUGGGAACAAGAGACGGAGAUAAAGUUAAUGUACUUAAGUCUUCUAUCUUCUAUUGACAGAAAUACUACAAUUUACUUGUGUGAAGGAGCUUAGAAGUUUUCAGUCAUCUCAAGGAUAAAAUAACUCUCCUAAAUGUUAUUAAUUCUCUUAAUUAUGGCAAAUAUAUUUUUGCUUACUUAGAUGAGUAUAACGAUUUGGGCAUGUUGAUAAAAUUUAGGAGAAUGGUUGGCUAAGCUGAACUGAGGUUGGCUAAGCUCUGGCACUAAAAAAGGUCCUGCUAUUAUACUGUUGACUACAAACUGCUACGGUACUGUUGGGGAUUCUGCAAGAAGUACUUUACUUUGGACUCCCAGUGUUACCCCACACCCCAAGUAUCCUUUUAACAGUUGUGUACAAUUUGAUUUUCUUUAUUUGUUCAGCGCUUUUUGUACAUGUGCAUAAUUUUCAAACGGUGUUGUCAGAGAUGAAACAAUCAAGUAAAAAAAAUGAUCCUAUAUUCUUGCUUAUUUUUUAAUGUUCACUGAAAUAAAUUGUAUUUUUCUCACACUUUGUCAUUAAUUGCGGAAGGACCCAAAAUAAAAAAUGUACUAUUUUCACUGUG